CCUAAUGUUUUGGUGUUUUUAAAUAAAAAUUUUGCGAUGUAUACCGUACUUACGCCAUGAUAAUAUUUACCAACGUGGGAAGAUUGGAUAACGAGGAACUUACGUUCAGAAGAAGGGCUUUAAGAGAUGCUGUUAUUUGUGUUGGCUGGAUAAAAAUCGCAAAGUUCUGUGGUGUGUUAUUUAAUAAUGUUCUUUAUGUCGUAUAUGAAUACAAAUACGACGAUGGGCUAUAUUUUACAAAUUAUGACUUUACUACCAAUUGUGCCUCAGGUUGUGCUUGCUGUUCUAUUGUUUUUGGGAGCGGUUGAGCAACGUGUUCCAGUUCUUCAGUUGGCAAUAUGGAUGUGUGUGGUGAUAGGUGGUUACAAUGCAUUGCUGGGGACAAUAGGUUUUGCCUACUAUAUAAGAACUGGGUAUCUUACGAUGCACUUUCUAUUAGCUGUGAUGUUUGCUGUACUUGCCGUGUCAAUAUUUGCUGUACUUUGCAACGAUAUACUUAUAAUACAAAGUUACAAACAAAUUCUAUGCCCAUCUGUUCCGACAUUGCCAACCGAGACAUAGCGAUAUUAAUGAAAACCUAAGCUUGAAUCAUA